AAGCUACUCCCUCGGUUCGGAAUUAGUUGUCGUAGAAAUGGAUGUAUCUAGACAUUUUUUUGUUCUAGAUACAUCCAUUUCUGCAAUAAGUAAUUCGGAACGGAGGGAGUAUUUG
rnacentral:pre_miRNA from 1 species